GAUUUGAUCCUGGCUCAGGACGAACGCUGGGCGGCGUGCCUAAUCCAUGCGGAGGUUGAGCGGAGCCAUUGGAGCUUGCUCCUUUGGUUUAGCGGCGGACGGGUGAGUAACACGUGGGCAACCUGCCCUGCAGAUCGGGAUAACUCCGGGAAACCGGUGCUAUUACCGAAUAGUUUGCGGCCUCUCCUGAGGCUGCACGGAAAGACGGGAUCCUCGGUGUCCUGCUUUUUUGGGCCCGCGGCGCAUUAGCUAGUUGGUAGGGGUAAUGGCCUACCAAAGGCAACCGAUGCGUAGCCGACCUGAGAGGGUGAUCGGCCACACUGGGCACUGAGACACGGCCAGACUCCUACGGGAGGCAGCCAGGUAGGGAACUCUUCCGGAAUGGACGAAAGUCUGAACGGAGCAACGCACGCGUGAGUGACG
rnacentral:rRNA from 1 species